rnacentral:rRNA from 1 species
UUGGACCUGAUAUCAGGCAAGAUUACCCGCUGAACUUAAGCAUAUCAAUAAGCGGAGGAAAAGAAACUAACAAGGAUUCCCCUAGUAACGGCGAGAUGAAGCGGGAAGAGCUCAAGUUUAAAUAA